rnacentral:lncRNA from 1 species
UGCCUUUGCUUGCAUUUUGUUAUUGUUUUGUUCUCUCUCUUAUCUCCCAGUAGCUAUUUCCCAAGACUCACUGAAUUCAGAUGUUGGCAACUUCCUGGCAGGAGCUGCCUCUGAUUUCUGGUUCUUUCAUUCCAUCAACACUGUUGGGGAGGCUACUUGGACCAGGCACUGUUCUAGGCAUUAUGGACAGAUCAUGAGUGAAAUGAAAGGAGUCCCAGACCCAGCUGGGUGGAGGUGACAGUGAUGAAGAAGUCACAUGUUGGUUGACAACUGCUGUGAACUGGCAACCGGCACCAUAGAAGGGACUGACUGGCAGCUGUACCUGACCUGAAUUUGGGGAGCUGUAAGGAAGGCCGCUGGGAUGGAGGGAUGGCCCAGUUUAUCCUGAGUAGAGCCCAUUCUUAGGAACCGCAAGAUAAAAUGGAAAAUGUCAUCUAGCCUGGAGAAAAAUGGACUCUCGCUCUUGGCCUCCCAAUAAUGGUCUGAUCCAAUCCACAUCCUCUGCAACCAUGUUUCUUCCUGCUUAGAAGAAAAGGGAUGAAAAGGACUUUUCUGCAGUCAGGCAGACCCGUGUCAACUGCGAGGUGAUCUCAGGUAGAUUGCAUGGCUUCUCUCAGUUUCGGUUUUCUUGU